GCGAGCAGAAGACGCUGCUAAACAAACUGCAUUCUGUGCAUGGCUUGCACAGAAAUCUCCAUACAGGAAGCUAAGUUGGAUAUUUCUAAUGCCCUCACACCAUGAUUACAGAAAACUCAAGGCCCAAAGUGAUACUGUGCCAUCCGUAAAAGCAAC
rnacentral:lncRNA from 1 species